rnacentral:lncRNA from 1 species
CAUAAUUAAAAUAAUGAUGACGUUUAGUUCAAAUAUACAAAAAAUUAGAAUCUAAAAUUAAAAACAACUCUGCAAGCAUCACCAAUUAUUUUGAAGAAAAAGUAACUUUCAAACAAACCAAAUAUGAAAUCGACGUACCAAUGGUCAGCGCUCCAAAAUUUUGUUGCUAAUGUUAUGUUCCGCUGUAAGAGUUUCACACAACUCAAAAAAAAUAAAAAUAAAUAAAGCAAUAAAUUAGAACCCAAAACACACAACAAAAACAUGAAAUGAAAAUACUUUAGGUACAUAAAAGUGAUAAAUGAUGGAGUAAACUUAUGCUCUAUCCUUUUUAUGCCCUUCAUUGUCAAAACAAAUUUAAUUUUCGUUGUAGAAUACAAAGACGGUACCUUUUUAUUGAGAAAAGGGCUUCGUUCGAAAUCGAAGCCCCACAAGGAUUUGGAGAUCGUUCGAAAAAAUAGAAACAUUCAAACAUUUCAGAUGGAAAAAAGUUCUAAAAUAAAUGUACCGAAUUUUAAAAAAAAUUAAAAAGAAAAUGUCCAACCUUUCUACAAUCAAAAAGUUCUAGAUGUAAAUAUUUCCCAAUAGGAACUCAUUCAUAUAGAGAAAUCUAGAUUGGAGAAGCCAAAAAUGAAAUUGCAGUGUGAGAGGCGAUAAGGGCAACCGAUGGAGGGUUUUGGUCUGUAGAGAGAGAGUGUGUG